UUAAUGAAAAAAUCUACCCCUGUAACGUUACUUGGGCGAUCAACUUUUCCAUAUAAUUAGAAAGUCCCAUUCAAAUGGCCAAAUCACACAAAUAUCCAACUUAGCAAUAGUUUACUUGUUGAUGAAUGAUGAUUUUAAUGGUGCCAGGGUAAUGUUUCAUAGAGUGGAAUGAUUGACCUCAACACAAGUAUUAAAAACAAAGAAGCAAAACAGGUCUACAUCUCAAAACCUGAUGUCUUCCUGGACUGGCUUGAGGAGAACGAUGAUGCAUAUCAAUUUCAUCCCUGAUCUCUAUGACACCUGUGGUGGAAGUGGAGGGCAAAUCGUAAUCAGUUUGGGUUCCAGCCCCGAGGACCUCUGUAAACUUUGCUUUUUGGUGAUGACUUAAUUUCCGAGCUUGAAAAGGACGCCCGUGUGUUUAUCAUGGCCUCUCAUAUUGGAAGAUAACAUUAAUGGCUUGUGUGUUGAUCGACGGUUGUGCAUAUCUCUUAGUCAGGAAAGUUGUAGGCACCAUCGCCAUUGUAAAUCAUUUGACAGGCCCGAGUGAACAGGGCGACCUAUGAUUGGUCAGCAAUGUAUCGGAUUCCAUAAUGGGGGGUGGGGAUGAAAAAACUGUUGUAGUGUAACAUAAUCAGAUUAUUUCAACUUACUUAUCCUGUGGAAAUACAGCUAUAUAGGAGAUAUUUUGAAAUUCAUAGGCACUGCAUGUUUCAACAUUUUAGAUUUGACCACAAUUUGGCACUUGAAACUAUGUUAACAGAGAAAAACUGUGUGGUUUUCGAUGAAAGUGUUAAAAGUCUAAUAUUGCAUCAUGAUUACUGUUUUAAAGUAUUUUCGUGUUUGAUUUAUAUUGAAUUCAUCUCAUCUUUUUGAAGAAUGCAUUUAUGUUCAAAAAUAAAAAUGUUCUGUGGAAUUCAAAAUUCAUGUGCUUUUAAAUUAUCAGAUUCCAAACUGGGGGGUGGGGAUGAAAAAGCUGUUGUAGUGUUACAUAAUCAGAUUAUUUCAACUUACUUAUCCUAUGGAAAUACAGCUAUAUAGGAGAUAUUUUAAAAUUGAUAGGCACUGCAUGUUUCAACAUUUUAGAUUUGACCACAAUUUGGCACUUGAAACUACGUUAACAGAGAAAAACUGUGUGGUUUUCGAUGAAAGUGUUAAAAAGUCUAAUAUUGCAUCAUGAUUACUGGUUUAAAGUAUUUUCGUGUUUGAUUUAUAUUGAAUUUAUCUCAUCUUUUUACAGAAUGCAUUUAUGUUUAAAAAUAAAAAUGUUCUGUUUAAUUCAAAAUUCAUGUGCUUUUAAAUUUCUGUCUGAAAUUCCGCAGUUUUCUGAUGUAUUAUAGUGUUUGCAGAAUGCCGCACAGCUCAUCUGAAAAUGCAUAGAUUUUCAUAUUCUUUGACCAGGGAAUUGCAUAUAUGUUUGUUUAUUAGAUAACAGAUUUGUUUAAACUGCAGAAACAUGUGAGGUAUAUAGGACUAAGACUAGUAAUUAUUUCCCCUUAUUUCAUGAUGGACGAAUGUAGUGCGAGUUAUAAAUAGACAAUUUUUCCCUUAAUUUUUUUCUCCCCUCUUCCUGCAUUUUUGGGUUGACUUUUUGGUCUAGAAUUGGAGAAAAGGGAUCAAAUUUGCAAUUUCAUAGCAGUUUUGGGUAAUACUGAUGAUAUUACAGCGGAGGGAUAGGGGGUGUAAAGUGUCUUUCUGCAGAGCAAUCAUUGUGUCGGAAGUGAGAUUUUCACCCCUGUCAACUUCAAAUCCGUAUAGCAAAAAAUCUAAAUGGUCAACCCCUUCCAAAGUUAUGAUGAGGAGAUUGCCAAAUGUUGUCCCCAUUGUGCCUAUAAAGAUUGGAACCAAUGGAAUGUUGAGCAAAAAGCUACAGCCUGUGAUGUUACAGUCAUUUAACAUUGAAGUCAAUGGGCAAAUAAUUGCUAGUCUGAGUCCGUCUGCUCAAUGUUAUGAUAGAGAAGAGUCUGUCACAAGUUGUUUUAGAUGAUUUUUAUGAUAAAUCCAACCAAUACUUCGAAGAUAAAAAUUCCUGUGAAAAGUAUAUGUUACAACAUCUUAUAUUUAACCAUUUAUUUAAAUUGUCAUUGACUUAUAGAUCUAUAAAAAAAA